UGCGUAGGUGGCAGAUCAAGUCUGGAGUAAAAGGUAUGGGCUCAACCCGUACUGGCUCUGGAAACUGAUCAGCUAGAGAACAGAAGAGGACGGCGGAACUCCAUGUGUAGCGGUAAAAUAGCGUAGAUAUAUGGAAGAACACCGGUGGCGAAGGCGGCCGUCUGGUCUGGAUUCUGACACUGAAGCACGAAAGCGUGGGGGAGCAAAUA
rnacentral:rRNA from 1 species